rnacentral:rRNA from 1 species
AGGGGCAGCGGGGUUGUAGCAAUACAACUGCCGGCGACCGGCGCACGGGUGAGUAACACGUAUGUAACCUGCCCUCUGCAGGGGGAUAAGCGGAAGAAAUUCCGUCUAAUACCGCAUAAUACAAUUUGGAGACAUCUCCGGGUUGUCAAAGGAGUGAUCCGGCAGAGGAUGGACAUGCGGCGCAUUAGCUAGUCGGCGGGGUAACGGCCCACCGAGGCUACGAUGCGUAGGGGUUCUGAGAGGAAGGUCCCCCACACUGGUACUGAGACACGGACCAGACUCCUACGGGAGGCAGCAGUGAGGAAUAUUGGUCAAUGGGCGGAAGCCUGAACCAGCCAAGUCGCGUGAGGGAAGACGGUCCUAUGGAUUGUAAACCUCUUUUGCAGGGGAGCAAGGCGCGGUACGUGUACCGCGAAGGAGAGUACCCUGAGAAAAAGCAUCGGCUGACUCCGUGCCAGCAGCCGCGGUAAUACGGAGGAUGCGAGCGUUAUCCGGAUUUAUUGGGUUUAAAGGGUGCGCAGGCGGACUGUUAAUUCAGCGGUAAAAUAUCUNUACUCAACACCAACCAACCNUUNAAACUNCCACCCUUAANUAANCUAAAACUAUACCAAAUACCUCNUNUANCCCUNAAAUNCAUAUAUAUCACGAAUUACUCCNNUUNCNNNNNCNNCNUCCCNNCNCUCNNCUNCNCUCNNNCNCNNAAGCNUNNUAUCCUUUAAGGGCCCCCCCCCCCCCCCUCCCCCCACCCCACGAUCCCUUAGGGCGUCCGGGCCGUAUAAGGCCUGGGUGGUCAAGCGAAAGCGUUAAGCAUUCCACCUGGGGAGUACGCCGGCAACGGAGAAACUCAAAGGAAUUGACGGGGGCCCGCACAAGCGGAGGAACAUGUGGUUUAAUUCGAUGAUACGCGAGGAACCUUACCCGGGCUCAAACGGAAGGGGACAGUAUGAGAAAUCAUACAUUCCUUCGGGACCGCUUCCGAGGUGCUGCAUGGUUGUCGUCAGCUCGUGCCGUGAGGUGUCGGCUUAAGUGCCAUAACGAGCGCAACCCCUAUCGACAGUUGCUAGCAGGUAAAGCUGAGGACUCUGUCGAGACUGCCGGCGCAAGCUGUGAGGAAGGCGGGGAUGACGUCAAAUCAGCACGGCCCUUACGUCCGGGGCGACACACGUGUUACAAUGGCAGGUACAGCGGGAGGCCACCCGGCGACGGGGCGCAGAACCCGAAAACCUGUCUCAGUUCGGAUUGGAGUCUGCAACCCGACUCCAUGAAGCUGGAUUCGCUAGUAAUC